AAUCCAUAGGUUAAUGAGGCGAACCGGGGGAACUGAAACAUCUAAGUACCCCGAGGAAAAGAAAUCAACCGAGAUUCCCCCAGUAGCGGCGAGCGAACGGGGAGGAGCCCAGAGCCUGAAUCAGCAUGUGUGUUAGUGGAAGCGUCUGGAAAGGCGCGCGAUACAGGGUGACAGCCCCGUACACAAAAGCGCAUGUGCUGUGAGCUCGAUGAGUAGGGCGGGACACGUGGUAUCCUGUCUGAAUAUGGGGGGACCAUCCUCCAAGGCUAAAUACUCCUGACUGACCGAUAGUGAACCAGUACCGUGAGGGAAAGGCGAAAAGAACCCCGGCGAGGGGAGUGAAAAAGAACCUGAAACCGUGUACGUACAAGCAGUGGGAGCACCCUUCGGGGUGUGACUGCGUACCUUUUGUAUAAUGGGUCAGCGACUUAUAUUCUGUAGCAAGGUUAACCGAAUAGGGGAGCCGGAGGGAAACCGAGUCUUAAUUGGGCGUUAAGUUGCAGGGUAUAGACCCGAAACCCGGUGAUCUAGCCAUGGGCAGGUUGAAGGUUGGGUAACACUAACUGGAGGACCGAACCGACUAAUGUUGAAAAAUUAGCGGAUGACCUGUGGCUGGGGGUGAAAGGCCAAUCAAACCGGGAGAUAGCUGGUUCUCCCCGAAAGCUAUUUAGGUAGCGCCUCGUGAAUUCAUCUCCGGGGGUAGAGCACUGUUUCGGCUAGGGGGCCAUCCCGGCUUACCAACCCGAUGCAAACUGCGAAUACCGGAGAAUGUUAUCACGGGAGACACACGGCGGGUGCUAACGUCCGUCGUGAAGAGGGAAACAACCCAGACCGCCAGCUAAGGUCCCAAAGUCAUGGUUAAGUGGGAAACGAUGUGGGAAGGCCCAGACAGCCAGGAUGUUGGCUUAGAAGCAGCCAUCAUUUAAAGAAAGCGUAAUAGCUCACUGGUCGAGUCGGCCUGCGCGGAAGAUGUAACGGGGCUAAACCAUGCACCGAAGCUGCGGCAGCGACACUGUGUGUUGUUGGGUAGGGGAGCGUUCUGUAAGCCUGCGAAGGUGGCCUGUGAGGGUUGCUGGAGGUAUCAGAAGUGCGAAUGCUGACAUAAGUAACGAUAAAGCGGGUGAAAAGCCCGCUCGCCGGAAGACCAAGGGUUCCUGUCCAACGUUAAUCGGGGCAGGGUGAGUCGACCCCUAAGGCGAGGCCGAAAGGCGUAGUCGAUGGGAAACGGGUUAAUAUUCCCGUACUUGGUGUUACUGCGAAGGGGGGACGGAGAAGGCUAUGUUGGCCGGGCGACGGUUGUCCCGGUUUAAGCGUGUAGGUGUGUGUUCCAGGUAAAUCCGGUUCACUUUAACACUGAGGCGUGACGACGAGGCACUACGGUGCUGAAGCAACAAAUGCCCUGCUUCCAGGAAAAGCCUCUAAGCAUCAGGUAACAUCAAAUCGUACCCCAAACCGACACAGGUGGUCAGGUAGAGAAUACCAAGGCGCUUGAGAGAACUCGGGUGAAGGAACUAGGCAAAAUGGUGCCGUAACUUCGGGAGAAGGCACGCUGACAUGUAGGUGAAGUGAUUUA
rnacentral:rRNA from 1 species